GGGGAAAGUUAUCCUAUCUAAACAGUCAUUCCAAUGGUACUCAUGUCUCUACAAGCAAAAUAACUCUAAGAGCCUUCUAAAGUCCUCACCAGCACAAAGUCUUCCAAUGAUCCUAGUGCCACCAAUCGCGGUCUUCACUACCGGAAUUACAUCAGCCAAUUCUGCCUCAAACGUACUACAAUACACAAUAUAUAGGUUACACACAAGAAAAAAGAUUUGCUGAAGAAAAAGGGAAAAUAAAUUUUAUCAUGUUAGUAGAGUAGCUUGAAGCGAACCUGUAGAAGUUCUCAGAACCUCCAAUGGCGACCAAGCAAUAAGCAUUGGUCAACUUAGAAAAAACUCCAACUUCGCAUGAAUUCUCAAAUUGCAAUCCUAAAAUUAAAAGCAACGAUAAUAAUUAUGAUAUUAAAGGAACAAUUUUCACGCCAUAAAUCAGCUAAAAUCAAUUCUUUUUUUUAACUCAAUGACUUAUUUGAACUGGAAUACUCACUGGUAGCCAUGAUUCCAAGGAUAUCAAACAAAUAUAAACACCUACUCGAUAUUAGAUCUGAAAAGGGAAAAAAUCCAAGAAGAAAGGAUUGAACAUGGAAAGAAAGAAUAAAAAGCAGGAACAAAUAAGAAUAAUAAUGAAAUCAAUUACGGAAUUCUUACAAUCAAGAAAUCGAGGUUCUAUUGAAAAUUCGUAGAUUACCUAAAAGGGAUUUGCUGGGAGAAUGAUUUGAACGUUCAGCAGACGCUAAUCAACGAGAACAGAAACCCUGAUUAGUGUUUUAGGGUUAGGGCUUAUAACCAAGUCAAAAUAAAGAAUCCAAACGGUGAGAGGCUGAGAGCUGUUUUGUUUUCCUGGCUUUCCCCCUCUCUUUUAUUUAUUAUUUUUUUUUGGCGAUAAUUUGCGGAGGUUGUUUGGAGCCAGACGCUGAAAGGGCCUUAUAUGAAGGCCCCUUGUAUGUCGCUGUUGAGGAUUCAACUUCUCGACCAGUUUGGGCCAGAUUUAUUUAUUCCCCUUUCGGCCCACGCGGAAACUUCACCCUUGUAUCCCAAGAAAAAAAAAAAAUUUCUCAUCUUUGAAAUCAACAUUGACAGUCAACAUAUUAGACAUCUCACGUCAUUUCUUGUGAAGAACGUUGAAAGCUUGAUGAUCAAGAAAAGUUGGAUGUGAGCAGGCACAUAUUUGUAGUAUUGGUUUGUUGCAUAUAAUUUCACAUGGGUUUUGAAAUCUACCCUGAUGGAGUUAUUUUCUAACUACUUUGUUUUUGUACUUUGUAUUUAAAGAAUCAUACAAAUACAGCCAAAAAAUAGAUUGUCCAUUAGCAUAAUUCAAAACUCAUUUUGUAUAAUUUAUGCCUUCAGCUUCUUCAAAAUCAUGCUAAUUGCCAGUCAUUCUUUGCGACAAAUUCAGAACAUGUAAUUAGGUAAACUCAGCGUAUUUAACCAAAUGCUAUCUCUUCCUUUAAAAUUGUCUUACCAAAUAUGCCAGGUUAAGUCUGAGUCUCAAAAGAUUCAGGCACUAUUUGGAUUGAGGGAAUGGGAGAGGAAUCGAAGAAAUUUGGUUUUUGUUGUUUGGAUUGACUUUUAAGUAGGGAAAGGGUCUAAUAAUUUUGUCGAAAUAUGGUUUUCACUCAAAAAUGGGCGGAAACGAGGGAAAUGAAAAUAAAUUAAUUUCAAUAAUUUUAAAUUUUUUUAAAAAAGAUCAAUUUUGUCUAUAUUUUCUGGUAAUUAAAUACUUGGUCUUUUACUUUCCUUUCUCUUCCUCUUCAAUCCAAACAAAAAAUUAGUAUUUUCUUUCAUUUCCUUCCAUACUUAAUCCAAACAAAAUAGAUGGACAUCACUUUUCUCUACUCUCCUUUCUUUUCUUUUCCAUUAGUAUCCUUUUCUUUCCCUUCCUUUCCGUCAAUCCAAACGGUGCCUUAGAAAUUAUGGGAUUAAUCGAAUUCAGCCUUGGGCAUGCAAGCAAAAAAUACAUCUCCGAGUUGUAUUCAUGUAGCCAAGUAUACAACCUUUGGCCUUCGAUUGACCAAUCCAAGUCCAGCCUUUUAUCCUUGAAGACCAAAAACAAAUAGGAAAAAUUUUUAAAGGAAUAGGAAAUCCUCCGUGCUCCAGUGCAAUAUUCUUAUGAGAAUUGAAAAUGAGAGAGAGCUUGUAUUCUAUAUGCGCAUUAUGUCGACAUGAUCAUGAAUGUUAUUGUUGCAGUAUCGUUGCUCAGCAUCCUGAGAAUGAUGAAAAUCUCACAAAACCCAAUAUUUACAACAAAAGAAUAGCCACAGAACUUUUUUUUAAAAAAAAAAUUUAAACAAAAACAAUGAAAACAUAGAACAGGCCAGACUGAUGAUCGAUCAAAAUCACCCAUUACUACAUAAAAUUCGAGAAUUUAAAAUCGUUCUGAUGCCCGUAUCUGCAAGUGAAAGAUUGGCUUCGAAAGUAUUCCACCUCCUCUUGUUGCCACUUUCCAUCAUCAAAGUUCUUAGAGCAGCUAAAGCUAUCAUAUAUAAUUCAACAGCUCGUGUCUUUCGCUUUCCUUUGCACACGAUGACUUCUUUAGAACUACCUACUCCUUCAGCUGUGGUGGCCUGGAUUAGCCUCUCCAAUAGAUGUUUUAUUGUACUCAGCCUUCCAUUGGCUCCAAAGAAGUUACUGCCAUGAACCAUCUUUCUGGUUCAUGCUAACUUGUUCAAGUGAUUUCUUUUCCAUCGCAAACAGAAUUGUUUCACCAAAAGUUACUUAUACCAUGGUCCUGGAGGCAGUGAAAUAAAAGAAGAUUCCACAUGUUUUUCCCUUAUCACAAUGCAUUAGUGAUUAGCCACCCACCCAGGACUAUUCAUCUCCCUAACCUGGAGUAAAUAGCUUUUUGUAAAAAAGAUGAACCCUAGAAAUCUUCACCAACCACUACUUUCCAUAAUGCCAAAUCCAUAUCUCCAUCCCAACCAUUUUAUAUUUCAUCUGCAUUACUAUUAACAUCAAGGGGUUCAUUCAUACAACAGUUCCCAGAGUUAAGACUUAGGAAUUGAGACAAAUUUAGUACAGCACAAAAUCACAAAUUCACCUCUAGAUAUUCAUAGCAUCUAGCUUCAUUUUAAAGCAACAACUCGGCAGAAUGCACAGAAAUAAGCUUAAAAUGCGAGCAAAAAAGUUAAGGUGGUGCUUAUGUUAUAAGAAAGGUACAUGCCAAAAGCUACAGUGGCGGCGGAGACGGAGUCGCGUAAUAGGCGGAUGGGGACGGUGGUGGAGAGCUUGAAUGCGCUCGCGGGAUCAUCUGAGCUCAUAAUCAAAGCCGCACCGGCUCCGCCUCCCGCGGCUGUGGCCGCCAUCAACAGUUUCGCUCUGGUGCGCCACACCGAUCUCACCGCCAUUUAUUGGCCUUCCUUUUUAAUUUUUUUCCCCUUGUCCCCGCCUUUUGAUUGGCUUCGGGUUUUUAUUUAGAACUCCAAGAAAACGGGGUGGACAGAGGCGAAACUUCCUCUAUUAUCCACAUAUCUUCUGACAGCAGCUGAAGCGGAUAUGAAGACUGUUGACACGCUCUGGGUUUUAGUUUCGGGUGGCUGACUCGUUUGUAACUUGCAUUUCAUUGUUUUCAUAUUUAAAUAUGCAGUUUUACCUUGUUCCACACCUAAAUCUGGAGAUAGAUAUCAACUGUUACGAUUGAUCAAUCUCCAGCUUUUUUAUGAGUUCUUCUAUCACUCUAUUGUUUCAUGAUUUUCCUCGCGCAUGCACUGUUGUGUAUGCACCUAUUAGGCUAUUACCUUGCAUGGUUAGUGCUGUAGAACAGAACAGAAUGGCUAUGUAGGUCAUAGAAGGUACCACACACCAUUAUUGUUUGUGGAGGAUUAUCGUGCACAUGAAUUACAGGAUAGAAAUAUGGGUUAUCUGCACAUGAAUUGCAGGCAGGACUGAAAUAGGAAAGAACACAGCCUUCGCCAGGUUACUUCACAGACCUCUGCAUUUGAUAAAGAGAGAAUAUGGGACAUUUGUAGAUCUUGAAAUCCCCAAGCCUUGUGUGGACGUGUUUAAGUUAUAAUGCCUUUGUCCCGAAUGAGCCACAAGCGGACAUCGUGUUAUAGAAUGACUUGUGUCGAAGAACUGCAAAUUUUCAAGCAUUAACCAAAAUUUUUUUUUUCUUUUCAACUCCUCCCACUCAUUGAUCCAGCUAAGAAUCCAAUCAUGGAUAAGUCGAUCCAAAGCUCUCUCCCGUGUUCCCUUCUCUUUUUUUUUUCCCUUUUUUCUAAUCCAUUUUAAGUUUGUCAAAAUUAGACUGCUAUGCUUUGUUAAGAACAUCAACCACCAGCAGCAGAUCAUUCCUUCCUAGCGCCAUUUCCAGAAACAUAGAAAAGGAACACCCACUGGUUGGACUUAUAUUGCAUUAGGGAGCAAUCAGCCACAGGUAAUUCAAUUAACCAAGAGAAGCAACUUUCCCUGUAGAUGGCAAAAGCUCAUACUUAAGUAGAAGCGGAAGCCCGAGAAGGCCCAAGGCAGACAACAUGUCAGUCAACAAUUAAACGUACAAACCCAGAAUGCUUAAACAAUAAAGAAAACACACACACACACAAACAUGAUGAUUCACCAAGAGGAACAGAGUGGCCAUCACUCAGGACAAGUAAACAAUUUCAAAAUACAGAAUUCCUUUUGCUUAAAAUUGUAGUUGACUCACGAAUACAGUAAUUUACCAGGGGAGACAGCAUAAUCAUUAAAAAAAAAAAAGGAAAAAGAAGAGAGAAAGAAAAAACAUACAAUGUAAGUAAGAACAGGAGCUAUAAUUCCUGUAUAAGAGACACUCAUUGAUACACUCAACUUGGGCAUGCAGCUCAUACAUAGCUGUCAAUCAAUGACUUCCUCAUCUCAUCAACAAUGGCACUAGGUUGAGCUUCUCUUAACUUGAAAACGCUCUCUAUAACAGACAAUUCUGUUGCGGUAGUGUCAGAUCCACAAAAGGCUGUCCAGUCAUUAACUGUCAGGCAAGCAGCGAUUACUUCACUACCACGAUUCGCUGUCCCUGCCACCAGUGGAACCUGUAGGAGCGUAGAGAGUUCAUCUAGGUCCUCUAUGGACGUAUGAGGAUGCACCUGAGCAACAACAGAUUUCAGUGAGAAACAGACACGUGCUCUUAACUCUAACUUCAUAUUUCAUUAGCAUAAAUCACAGAAUGGAGGAGUUUUAUAUUCGUUCUAAUGUUCACUAAGUUCAAGGUGCACUGCUUACCAGGCCACCCCUAUUUGAAAAUGCACAGUAGCUGCCCACCAAAAUAUUUCCAGCAAUUGUCUGUCUAAAAACUUCUACUCCGAGAACAUCUGCAAUCAUCUCCUCAGUUUCCUAUGAGAAGACACAGCACACCAAAAUUACCAGCUUAAUCAAUGAUUAAAAUAAGCUCAUUUUGAUUUAUAAUGAUUAAAAUAAGCUCAUUUUGAUUUAUACGGUAUAUCAUGCCUUACCCUUCCUGAAAAAAGUUAUAACCAGACAAAGAAAAGCUGAAUAAUUAGCAUAACAUUAAUAAGGUAGCUUCCAAGUGAAAUAUCAAAUUGCCAUUGAAGAAGCAAAAUUUGAAACAAGUGCAGAAAGAAUCCAGUUGAAUAUCACCGCAACCUAUUUGAGGCUUUUACCAAGAGGGAAAUGCAUGCAUAUGACAAGAACUGCAGUCAGCAUUGAGAAGCUUCCAUAGACUUCAGAUUUGUCACAUGACAGGCACAGGAUGUGCACGGAUAUAGAUAGACAUAGGGAGGAAGAGUCUAGAUGACACAUGCAAGCGUUUCAAUCAGGUCAAUUGCAUUCCCAGACGGUAUAAGAAUAGGAAAAGCACUGCUUUAUUAGGUAGAGCAAAAUUGCCACUAACUUUUUCACGUAAAAUAUAUGGUAUCCAUAUCAUUAAGCAUGUUAUUAUCAAGGGAAAGGACAAUCUUACCCUGUCGAGAUCGGUGUGUGUAAGUGCAACAUGAUCAUUGCAGGCAAUGCAGUUUCCCAAUGCAGAAAGUCUCUCCUCAAUGCGCUGAACAACAACGGAAUCUGGUAGACUAUUCCUCAAAUGCUGAAGUUCUUUAUCACACAUAAUGUAAAUCAAAGUCAGAACCUUGAAAGUCCAUAACACAUCCACAAGCAAAGGUAGAUAAUUCUCAUACGCACCACAACUCUUUUACGAACAAAUAGUGAUCUUAUGAUGACAUCUAAUACAUCAUCAAUUAAAUCCAACAAAAACAUGGUCAACCAACCCAAGAAGAAGACAAAUGAAAAAGGAAAAGAACAAAGAUUAUACAUUGCACUGUGUAGCUGAAUCUCAAUACUUGAAAGGAAAAUUUCUUGCUUAAAAUUUUAAAGUUAAGAAUCAAAAGAUACACAAUAACUGUACUAGCAACAAUUUCAUAAAGUUGUUACCUUGAUCGGUGGUAGUAUGCGGUAAGAGAAGCCCAUUCUUGUUUCCUAAAUGAAAAAAGGGGGAAAGAAAAGGUUAGGUUAUCCUACCUAAACAGUCAUUCCAAUGGUACUCGUGUCUCUACAAGCAAAAUAACUCUAAGAGCCUUCUAAAGUUCUCACCAGCACAAAGUCUUCCAAUGAUCCUAGUGCCACCAAUUGCGGUCUUCACUACCGGAAUUACAUCAGCCAAUUCUGCCUCAAACGUACUACAAUACACAGUAUAAAGGUUACACACAAGAAAAAAGAUUUGCUGAAGAA
rnacentral:lncRNA from 1 species